AUGGUAGUGCUGCCGGAAGCUGAUCCGCACUGUCGUCCGCCCAGCCGGGCAAUGUUUGCGCUGCCAGACGCAGAGGAGUCGUGGCUAGCGAUUGUGGUCAUAAAGUCGAAUGAUAUAGGUCAAGAAAAUUCAGACAUUUACAAAAGCUUGCUAAAGGAAAUAAUAUUUAUUUUGGCUUCCAAGAAAAAUAACAGACAGUUGAAGAAGCAAUCAAGGAACGGAGAGUCGUUCGUGGGGACGACACGGCAUGGGAAGAACUGCAGUGCGGGGCUGUCUACACCUACUGAGAAGAGGAAGGGCACAGCGGCCUCAGGCUGUGGGACCCAGAACAUUGGACUGAGCCGAGAUGCUGUGACGGAUUCCACUGCUGUUGCCUCUCCCUGCAGCCCUGCCACGAUCCUGUUGUCACCCCAGAUGGCUACCGGUAUGAGCGUGAGGCCCUCCUGGAGGACAUUCCGCAUCCGCAGAAGGAGAUCGCCCGGCAGAUGAAGGCCUGUGAGAAGCAGUGGGGUGCCCAGCGGGAGCAGCAGAAGGAGCUCCAGGGGCGGCCUCUCAGGAUCACGUGCGGGGCUUCCUGGAGGAGGAGUCGGCCAUCGUGAGCCGCCCCUCAACCCUUUCACAGCCAAGGCCCUCUCGGCCACCAGCCCAGGUGAUGCCCAAGCCGGGCCCAGCGUGGGUCCCCCAAGUAAGGACAAGGACAAAGUGCUACCCAGCGUCUGGAUCCCGUUGCCGACACCCGAAGCCAAGGCCACCAAGCUGGAGAAGCCGUCCCGCACGGUGACCUGCCCCACGUGGGGGAAGUCCCUGCGCAUGUCGGACCUGAAGCCCGUGCACUUCGCGCCGCUCGACAGCUCGGGGGACCGCGUGGGGCUCAUCACACGCAGCGAGCGCUAGGUGGCGCUGUGACCCGCGACAGCCUGAGCAACGCCACCCGCCGUGCUGUGCUGCGGCCCUCUGGCUGUGGUCACCCUUGAAGGCGUGAAGCCGAUUCGGAAGGACAUGGUGGAUCGUGUGAGUGGAGACGAACUCACGGACCGCGGCAUCGUCGUGCUGCAGCGGAGCGGUACCGGCUUCGCGGGCUCCGGAGUGAAGCUGCAGAGAAAUCGCGGCCGGUGAUGCAGGCCUGAGUGUGCGCGGGAGACCAAAUAAACCAGCUUGCGUGCGCA